CGUCCAACCUCGAUAAAAAAGCUCCGUGUCGCGUAAGCCCCUUGAGCUUUCGCGCUUUUCUCCGUGGUUCCUGAAGGAUACAGGGUCAGUCAGGAGGAUACCAAUCCCGAGGAAUGGAGACUGGAGUAGUAUGAGAGAGAACGAAAAAUAUUGAACCUACAAUGUCUGACAAGGAUCUGAAGAUUUUUGAAGAAAAUAAAAAGAAUUUUGAUAUUUGAUCAAAUAAACGUAUGAAGCAUUUAA